UGAGGUGAGCGCGCGGGGCGGGCAGGACGCCGGGGCGGUGCGGACGCCGGAGCCGGGGCCGGGGCCGGGGCCGGGCGCGGGCCCAUGCGCGGGGCGGUGCGGGCGGGCGCGGCCCUGCGCGCCAUGGCGGCCCGGCGGCCCGCCGCCACCGCCGGCAUCAUCGUUAUCGGCGACGAGAUCCUCAAGGGCCACACGCGCGACACGAACUCCUUCUUCAUGUGCCAGCGGCUCCGCGCGCUGGGCGUGAGGGUGGCCCGGGUCUCCGUGGUGCCCGACGACGUGGAGACCAUCGCCGGCGAGGUGGCCGCCUUCGCCGCCCGCUUCACCUACGUGCUCACCUCGGGCGGCAUCGGCCCCACGCACGACGACGUCACCUUCGAGGCCGUGGCCAGGGCCUUCGGCGAGGCCCUCGCCCCCCACCCCGAGCUCGUGGCCCUGGUGCACAGGUUCUUCGGCAAGACGGACGCCUCGUGCCCCGAGAUGAAGCUGGCCCGCGUCCCCGCCUCCUCCCGCCUCAACUACGGCACCGACCGGCGCACCGGCGGCGCCUUCAAGUACCCGCUGGUCAGCGUGCGCAACGUCUACAUCUUCCCCGGCAUCCCGGCGCUCAUGGAGCGGGCGCUGGACGGGCUCUCCCACCUCUUCCGCGACGAGCAGACCCGCUUCCACUCCCGCGCCAUUUACGUGGCGGCCGACGAGAUGCUCAUCGCGCCUGUGCUGGACCGGGCCAACGCCAGCUUCCAGGGCCGCGUGAGCCUGGGCUCCUACCCCGACUGGGCCAGCAAUUAUUACCGCGUGAAGCUGACCCUGGACUCGGAGUCAGAGGAGCACCUGGAGGACGCGCACCGCUUCCUGAUGGAGAAGCUGCCGCCCGACGUGGUUGUGCCUUUGGUGACAGACCCUGUGUCGCAGGCAGCCACAGAAGUUUAUGCCCUGGCUGAGUCAGGCUCAGCCCUGGGACAGAAGGUGGCAGCAGCCCUGCGGACCGUGGAGGAGGCUUUGGACCGGUACAGCCUGGACCAGCUCUGCGUGGGCUUCAACGGCGGCAAGGACUGCACAGCCCUGCUGCAUCUCGUCCAUGCCGCCGUGCAGAGGCGGUACCCGGAGAGGCAGGAGAAGCUGAAGGUGCUCUACAUCCGCAUUGUGUCCCCCUUCCCCGAAAUGGAGCAGUUCAUCCAGGCAACCGUCCAGAGGUACGACGUCCAGCUCUGCACCGUGGAGGGCUCCAUCCGCGAGGCUCUGGUCCGCCUGAAGGAGCAGCAGCCGCAGCUGCAGGCCGUGCUGAUGGGGACGCGGAGGACGGACCCCUACUCGUGCACCCUGACGCCCAUGUGCAUGACCGACCCUGGCUGGCCCCAGUACAUGCGAGUGAACCCCUUGCUGGACUGGACGUACCGGGACAUCUGGGAGUUUCUGCGCAAGCUCUUUGUGCCCUACUGCAUCCUUUACGACAAGGGCCGCCUUGUCCCUUCGCAGCUACACCUCGCUGGGGAGCACGAUCAACACGCUGAAGAACCCGGCGCUGCGCUACACCAACGCGCAGGGCCAGGAGAGCUACCGGCCUGCCUACGAGCUGGAGAACGAGGAGGAGGAGCGCACCUCCCGCCAGUGACGGCCUGGGGGCCAGCCGCAACCUCUCCGAGGGCAGGCUGCGCUCCGGGAGGCUCCGUUGGGGCUCUCCGGGCCGCGGGGUCUCCGACGGAUGGAGGGGAGAGCCGGCCCUGCUGCCGUUUGCAAGGGACAGCACUGAGAAUAAACCCGCUGCGCUCUUGUCCGCAUCUCUCGCUCUUGCUCGGCUGUGCUGCCCUGUGGGUACCCGGGCGCCGGGAGGGGACGGGCUGCCGCUGUGCAGGGAGGGGGGUGAGGCUGGCUCCGCGGAACAAAAGGCCGCGCUGUGCCGGCGGUGCCCCCUCCCCGAGGGUGUUAUUGUGGGAGCCUUUUGAAGCCAGAGAAUGGAGCAGGUUCCAGCGCUUGCGCGCGGAUCCGGCCGUGUCUCAUCUGGCCGUGUCUCUUCCACCCGCCACCCCACUGCUGCGCAUCAGACGCUGCUGAUCGCUUGGCCAUGCACCUCCUGCAGAGCGCGGCGGCCCGGCGGGCCCGGGCCCCGGGCUCCCCAAAGCAAGCGGUUCGAGCCGUGGCGCUGCCGGGACCCGCCAAGGCCUCCCUGGGGCUGCGCCUCGGCUACUGGCUGCUGCAGGUGCUGCGGGAGUGCGUGUACGUCCUGCUGUGCAGCUGGUGCAUCAGGGAGCUGCUGGACUAGGGCCGCGGCCUGCGCCCCGGGGGCGUCCCCUCCCUCUCCCCGCCACCCCGCGCCCGCCCUGGCGGCCACCAAGGGGGGCUGCCUGUGCUCCUGCGAUGGCUCCUCCCUGCCUGGCCCUGCUGCUCCGGAGCUGACAGACCCCCGGCGCCGUGACCCGGCGUGAGGCCUCCGGCCCCCCAGCACAGAGCCCCCAAUAAACCCGGGUGAUGCGUGA